GAUUUCUUGAUAAACCGCCCUGCAAGACGGAGGUAACAGAUUGCACAAACACAUUGAAACAUUUUCAGCUGUUCACUAACACUGUUACAUUUUCUGGAAUUUUCAAUGGAAUGGGAGAAUACGAGAGGCGAAUACCCAAUAUUUCAAGAAGAAUAAACGAAAAGCGCAGUUUAUUUUGGAUUUUAAAGAGAGAAAACGAAAGAGGUUAACAAGGAGAAAAAGAAAUCAUUUGGACCAUUGGUAAAAUUCAAAUCUAUUGCGUGCAGCAACCAAAUAAUGGAGUAUGUUUUAAAUUAUUAAAGUUAAAUAGUGUAUAUUUAUUUCAAAUAUUUGUUAUAGAUUGUGCAUUUUAUUUUGAUUUUAUUAUUAAAUAA